AGAAACUAACGAGGAUUCCCCUAGUAACGGCGAGUGAACGGGGAAGAGCCCAGCGCCGAAUCUCUUAGCCUCUGGCUACUGAGAAAUGUGGCGUAUAGGUGUGGCUGUCUGUCGCUUUCGCUCACCCAAAGUCCCCUUGAGCGGGGCUGCACUCCAGAGAAGGUGCGAGGCCUGUACGGGUGGUGAUCGCGGCGGUAGGUUGCUCCUUGGAGUCGGGUUGCCUGAGAUCGCAGCCCAAAGAGGGUGGUAAACCUCAUCUAAGGCUAAAUAUGACCACGAGACCGAUAGCGAACAAGUACCGUGAGGGAAAGUUGCAAAGAACUCUGAAGAGAGAGUUCAAGAGGACGUGAAACCGCUGGGAAGGAAACGGAUAGAGUUGACGUAACUCGGCGGCAUUCAGGCGGUUGGUCUAGCGGACUUGCGCUCGCACUCCUCGAUGAGGGUGCGGACGCUUGCCUCUGCCUGGUCGACUGCUGCAUUUGCCGUCGGUAUGCGCCGAGAACCUCGCCGGCGCCGGCCGAGCCGUGUUCAGAGGGCCAUUUCGGUGGUAACCUGUGCGCGGGUAAGCCGGUCGCUGGUGCGGUUUGCUAGCUGCUUUCUCCGCCUGUGUGCGCUUGUGUUGGUUACGGUUGGUGGCGUUGCGGAUUAUCGCGUGCGAUGUUCAACGACGCUGCCGGUCGUGCCGGCCAGACGCGCUGAGAGAGCUUCUCGGUGUGAAAGUCGACCACCUAUCCGACCCGUCUUGAAACACGGACCAAGAAGUUUAGCAUAUGCGCGAGUCAUUAGGUGGAAAACCUAAAGGCGAAAUGAAAGUGAAGAUCGCGUCAGCGGUUGAUAUGGGAUCCGGUCCGGGAGUUGCCGGUCGGCGCACCAUAGCCCCGUUCCUACUGCUUGCAGUGGGGCGGAGGUAGAGCGCAUACGCUGAGACCCGAAAGAUGGUGAACUAUGCCCGAGCAGGAUGAAGCCAGAGGAAACUCUGGUGGAGGUCCGAAGCGGUUCUGACGUGCAAAUCGAUCGUCUGACUCAGGUAUAGGGCGAUA
rnacentral:rRNA from 1 species